UUAAAAAAAAAAAAAAGAAAGAAACAUCAAGGUCAGUAUCCCAAAUGCCUGGGCUUUGAGGCUUUUGUUUCUGUGAGGCCAUUCAAAGGGGAUCUUUAACGUGAAGCUUUGUUCAGCUCUUGCCUUAACACGGUCUACUCGCCUAACGUCUUAAGAGUUUGACAUCCUUGCAUUUCAACUCAUCUGGCUGGAGACAAUGUACUCAAGGCAUGGGCAGUCUGCUCAUCAUCUUUCCUCUGGGCUUGUCCUCUCUCAGUGGUAGCCCUGGUUAUGGCGCCGGUUAGGGUCCGGCGUGCUACCGCUGGCGUUCGUGAUGCCCUGCUUCUGCCCUUUCACUUUUGUAGACGUGUGUGGUCUCUCAGACAUCAAGGAGCCAGCAAACAACCCCAGUGUGUCUGCGAGGAUGAGAAGGGCUGAGGACCUAGAGAGAGGGAGAUUCCUGCGUUGCCAAAGCAGCCGUGAACCUGAACAUGUGUGCAAAGACAGAGGAGAGCGUGGAAUUGGACCACCAUGGCACUUAUUACCAUGAAAAGGAGCCGAGAAAGCAGGAGAUUGGCAGGGAACACCAUGGAAGAAAGCAGAUGCGCAAGUCACGGUCAUCCCAGCCGGAUGGGGCACGAGGCCAUCCUUCCAUCUCCGUUGCCCCCAACACCGGCAGUCUUUGCAGUACUCCAAAGGUCUAAGACCGUGGGAGAAAAGGAACUAAGGAUCACAUGUCAACCCUUGGGGCACACUCGAAGGCUGCUCUCAAUACUACAGCCAAGUUAUAGGUGAUGAUUAUUUGUAAUCUGACAUCAGCAGAAUAAUCUUGCAGGAAAGAGAUGGAGAUGACAGAAGGACGCAUGCCCUGUGCUUACCCCGGGAUUAUUCAUGAAGGCAGUCUGGAACAUAGGGGAUAGGAGGACCAGGAGAGGCAUCAUCUAAAAUGUUCUCUGACCCACCAUGCUCAGAGUUGAGCCUGUUCUUCAGAAGGUAUAUUCAUAUGGGUGGUGUGGAGGUUGGAGACACUGCAUUUGCUUUCUGCUAGAGCACGGAAGAUUUGCAAAGUGGCAAAGGGAAGAGGAGAGGUAGAGCUUCAGAAACUUUCUUCCUCAGAGGUUCAUGCGCUGAAAAGCCAACUUAAUGCCACACAUCUGGAAAAGCUGAUCACCUACGUAUGGCUUCCUCUUAAGGAUUUAAAAAAAACUGGUGGGAAAUAAUCGAAGGCAUUGAUGGUGAAAACCUGCUGAUCUCUACAACGUAACAAUUUAUCUUUCCAGAAAGGAGGAAAGAAUUUUAUAACUUUUUAUUUUUAAUUUUAUAACUUUAAGGACUUCUCUGACUUAAAAAAAAUAGGAAUUUUGUAUCAGACACAUUUGGGAAAUGCUGCAGUCUAUACAUAGCCCACCUAAUGCCCAUGAGAAUAUGGAAAGAAAAGUUUUACUGUCAGAAAUCCAUAGAAAUGCAGGGAGGAGGCAAUAUCACCGCCCAGGGGAUGUGGCAACGUUUGAAGACAUUUUUGGCUAUUACAACCAAGAGGAUGGUUGGCAUCCAGUGGGUAGAAACAAGGAUGCUGUGUGACAUCUUACAAUGCACAGACCAGCUCCCCAACAACGAAACUACCUGGUCCCACACGUCAACAGUGCUGAGACGGGGGUAUCCUGAUUCACUCCUAUUUACAACCCAUACAAUACUUUCUGCACCUCUGCCUUAGUCUCUAAUCAGAAAUACAAUCUGCUACUUCUCUGAUCAAAUGCAAAUGAGGAAUGAAUCCUACUUUUAAAAAGUAUCCAAAAGAAAACCCAAAAUGUUCAACUCUGACACACCAAUUCCUAGAUACAGCCGGACUAUUACAUAUGUGCAAAUUCUAUCGUGGAUGAGGGAAAUACUGAUGCCGGAAACACGAAGUUAAAAGCAACUUAUAAGUAUGAACUAUCAGUGCUACCAGAACAAUCCAAAGGUGUGAACAUGGCAGAGUAGCCCUUUUUAGAAAUGCCCAUCCUCGUGCGUGCCUUUGUUUCCAAAGUUGGUCACUCCUGCCAAAAUUGUCAUGCAGAAUGUCUACGCAUUACAUUGGACACAUUUGUAGACAUUUAUAACAAUUCUCCCUCCCGACUUCAAAAAAAGAAGGAGGGACUCUACUCAUUGGUUUGCAAAUUCAGUCUGGUAAGACAACGUUGAGGCCUCAUAUUUUCAGCUCAUCCUUGAAAGUUUUUGACUGACCUUGAUGGCUUCCCGCAAUCCCACAUAACAUAUAAUGGAAAAUUCAACUCUCUGGAGAGAACUGUUUUCUGAUAGCUAGCCAGCGACAUUCCUUGGGGCUUGCAUCUGUGACCUUGAGUUUGACUUUUGCUGAGGAGUCCUCCCUCUCCUCACCAGAUGUCUCUUUAGGGUUUCACAACCUUGUUACUAUGUCAACAUCUUGGGUGAGAUAAUUCUUUGCUGUUGGGGGCUAUGCUGUGCCUCGUAGGAUGCUUAUCAACAUCCCUGGCUUCCAUUUAUUAGAUACAAGUAGCACCCCCAACCCAUUUGAGACAGUCCCCAGACAUUGCCCAAUGUCCCCAGGGGGUAAAAAUCACCCCCAGUUGAAAACCACUGACUUAUCCUAAGGUUUUCAGAAAGUCCUUCAACAAAAUCUCAAAACGGAAUUGACUGUAACUGACUUAAUAGCCAUGGUGGGGCACAGAGAGCUUUUUCAUGGAAGGAAGUGGUAAAGGGCCUGCUGAACAUCAAUCCAAGAUCAAGGUCUUAGGCUAAAAGAGUUGGGAAGUCCUGGUCUCCAGAGAACGUGACAUGGACAACGUGAAACCAAUUCCCACACACAGCAAUGACUACAAUGAACAAACACGCUCUUCGGGACAGCACUUCCUCCCUGACAUCAUGUCCCUGGCCUGCCACCGCUAAGAGUUCCCGGAUAUUUCACAUAUGAUUAAAAAGACAACCAAUGAGAAGGAAAUAAUGAUUUCAACAAGAAAGGGCACAUUGUAAUGCAGAAAUAGGUGAGUUGGUUGGGUGAGGGCUUUUUAUUAAGUGCAAGGAAAAUAAACACGCAUUUUUAGAGGAAAAAAAACAAACAAAAGAACCACAAUCCUUAGUUUUCAAUGGAAUCUGGGCUUUACUGGGGAGUAGUAGAUCUAAAAAAAAAAAAAGGUGAAUCUGCAUACAACCAAGUAUUUUACUGGAAUUUACUGGUACGACUUGCUAUGAAAGUCUGGGUUUCCCUGGGAAAAAGAGGAAUAAAAACCACACCAUUCCCAGGGGCCUUUCAUUUUAGUUGCAUGGGUACGAGGGGGCCAAGGGAAGAAGGGAGAUAGAGACAAGGGGAAGAGAAAGUCAUGGGACAUAAACCAGUGAAAAACUGAGAAAGAUUUUUACUGAGCCCUGGCUACAGAACUCACUUUUGUUAUGAUGUGCUAGUGGAAAUCUGAGAAUAAAAAUAGCUUUCUAAUAUAUGUCAGAAUUCUUGUAAGUCCUGGAAUAAAUCCAGAGAUCUACCCUUCACUUCCUUGUGAAGUAAAAUACACACUCUGAACCUAUUUAUGUUUAAGUAAUUUUAACAACAGCUUAUUUUGAAAUACAUCAAACUUAAAGAUUGCAAGACCAUCAUGAAGACCUCCCUUAUCCCCCUCAUCUAGGUUUUCCAACUGCGAACUAUUACAACACCCCCCUCUAUUUA